GAUGAACGCUAGCUACAGGCUUAACACAUGCAAGUCGAGGGGAAACGACAUCGAAAGCUUGCUUUUGAUGGGCGUCGACCGGCGCACGGGUGAGUAACGCGUAUCCAACCUGCCCAUCACUUGGGAAUAACCUUGCGAAAGUAAGACUAAUACCCAAUGACAUCCCACGAAGACAUCUGAAUGGGAUUAAAGAUUUAUCGGUGAUGGAUGGGGAUGCGUCUGAUUAGCUUGUUGGCGGGGUAACGGCCCACCAAGGCAACGAUCAGUAGGGGUUCUGAGAGGAAGGUCCCCCACAUUGGAACUGCGACACGGUCCAAACUCCUACGGGAGGCAGCAGUGAGGAAUAUUGAUCAAUGGGCGAGAGCCUGAACCAGCCAAGUAGCGUGCAGGAUGACGGCCCUAUGGGUUGUAAACUGCUUUUAUAAGGGAAUAAAGUGGGUCUCGUGAGACUUUUUGCAUGUACCUUAUGAAUAAGGACCGGCUAAUUCCGUG
rnacentral:rRNA from 1 species